rnacentral:rRNA from 1 species
AAGCGAACAUNUGAGUGCAAGCGAAUCCCAAAAAUAACGUCUCAGUUCGGAUUGUAGUCUGCAACUCGACUACAUGAAGCUGGAAUCGCUAGUAAUCGCGAAUCAGAAUGUCGCGGUGAAUACGUUCCCGGGUCUUGUACACACCGCCCGUCACACCAUGGGAGUCAGUAACGCCCGAAGCCGGUGACCUAACCGAAAGGGAGGAGCCGUCGAAGGUGGGACCGAUAACUGGGGUGAAGUCGUAACAAGGUAUC